UGGCGGACGGGUGAGUAACGCGUGGGUAACCUGCCCUGUACAGGGGGAUAACAGUUGGAAACGGCUGCUAAAACCGCAUAACAUGGAGAUACCGCAUGAUAUUUCCAUCAAAUAUUUAUAGGUACAGGAUGGGCCCGCGUCUGAUUAGCCAGUUGGCAGGGUAAUGGCCUACCAAAGCGACGAUCAGUAGCCGACUUGAGAGAGUGACCGGCCACAUUGGGACUGAGACACGGCCCAAACUCCUACGGAAGGCAGCAG
rnacentral:rRNA from 1 species